CCCCUCUUAGGGUUGCACCUGAAGAGUUUCCAGUCCUCUACCAGUCUCGGCUACGAGAGGGAGAGUCAAGCAGAGGCCUAACCAUUCCAUUCCUAGCUUGAUCAGUGGCUAGCGAGUGGAAGACAAUCUGCUACAAGU